rnacentral:rRNA from 1 species
UACGGAGGAUCCAAGCGUUAUCCGGAUUUAUUGGGUUUAAAGGGUGCGUAGGCGGCUUUAUAAGUCAGGGGUGAAAGACGGCAGCUUAACUGUCGCAGUGCCUUUGAUACUGUAGAGCUUGAAUGUGAUUGAAGAUGGCGGGAUGAGACAAGUAGCGGUGAAAUGCAUAGAUAUGUCUCAGAACUCCAAUUGCGAAGGCAGCUAUCUAAGUCAAUAUUGACGCUGAUGCACGAAAGCGUGGGGAUCGAACAGG